UACGUAGGGGGCUAGCGUUGUCCGGAUUUAUUGGGCGUAAAGAGCGUGUAGGCGGCUUGGCAAGUCCGCUGUGAAAACUCGAGGCUUAACCUCGAGACGUCGGUGGAAACUGCCUCGCUAGAGUCCGGAAGAGGAGAGUGGAAUUCCUGGUGUAGCGGUGAAAUGCGCAGAUAUCAGGAAGAACGCCCGUGGCUAAGGCGGCUCGCUAGUACGGUACUGACGCUGAGACGCGAAAGCGUGGGGAGCGAACAGG
rnacentral:rRNA from 1 species